rnacentral:rRNA from 1 species
GGGCCCGCACAAGCGGUGGAGCAUGUUGUUUAAUUCGAUGCAACGCGAAGAACCUUACCACCCCUUGACAUACUCGGAACUUUCUAGAGAUAGAUUGGUGCCUUCGGGAACCGAGAUACAGGUGCUGCAUGGCUGUCGUCAGCUCGUGUCGUGAGAUGUUGGGUUAAGUCCCGUAACGAGCGCAACCCUUGUCCUUAUUUGCCAGCGAUUCGGUCGGGAACUCUAAGGAGACUGCCGGUGAAAACCGGAGGAAGGUGGGACGACGUCAAGUCAUCAUGGGCCCUUACGGGGUGGGCUACAAACGUGCUACAAUGGGGAGUACAAAGGGCUGCGAACCAGCAAUGGUAAG